GCUUUCAUCAGGUUAUAAAGUCUGUUGGUCAGUAAAGUUCAGUUUUGAGCUUGUUUUGACCCAGUGUUACUGUUGUCUCAGAGGAGCAAUUGGAGUUUUCAGACACUGAUUGAGCAACACUAAUAAUUAUUAAGAAAUAUAAAAUUAACUUACACCUGUUUCCACAUGAGAAUAUUUUUUUUAUUCUCUUUUCUGUUGAUUCAGUUAUCAAGCAGCAUGAAUAAAUAUCAUGUUAUCUAGUUGACUGCAAACAGCAUGAGCAUGUGUGAUCAACAAACAAAAAAUAAAAUGCAGAAAAACUUUUCUUAUUGUGUAUUGUGACAUUAACAGUGAACAGAAAGGUACAUAUUCACAUUCACGUCAUACUGUUCUUAAAUAGUUUAGUCCUUCAGGCAUGAUUGUAUCUUGUGACCCUCCAAUGCAAAUCAAACACUCCUGUAUGUUUGUUCAGUAUUUAUGUGCUUCUGAUUGGAUCUGGAGCGUUACAUCACCACUUUCAAGAUGAAGAGUUCACUCUGCUUACUGCUGCUCUCAUUCAGCGUACACCGUUUAAAAUGUCAAAGUAUGGAGUCCAUUGAAAGCACAGUUGAGAAAAAGCCUGGAGAAACUCUGACUCUGUCCUGUAGAGGAUCCGGGUUCAGCUUUAGCUGCUGUAGCAUGCACUGGAUCAGACAACAAGCUGGAAAACCUCUCGUGUGGAUUGGACGUGUUUAUAGUGAUGGCAGCGGCCAUGACUACGCUGAAGCCUUCAACAGACGAACUGAAAUCACCAGAGAUAAUUCAAAGAAUAUGGUAUAUCUGAAACUGUCGGGCCUGACAACAGAAGACUCAGCCACAUAUUACUGUGAAAAACAAACACAGUGACACAAAGUUCUUGCACGGCUGAACAAAAACCACUUGAAUGUUUCAUCUCUUGUCACUAGAGUUCAACAGGUGGCAGCAG